UACGGAGGGUGCAAGCGUUGUUCGGAAUUACUGGGCGUAAAGCGCGUGUAGGCGGUUCGGUAAGUCGGUUGUGAAAGCCCCGAGCUCAAAUCGGGAAUUGCGUCCGAAACUGCCGGACUGGAGUCCCGGAGAGGAAGGCAGAAUUCCCAAUGUUGGGGUGAAAUCCGUGGAUAUUGGGAGGAAGACCGGCUGCGAAGUCGGCCUUCUGGACGGUGACUGACGCUGAGACGCGAAAGCGUGGGGAGCAAACAGG
rnacentral:rRNA from 1 species